UCAGCCAAUCAGCGGUGUCGCCUCCGCGCUCCGCGCCUCUGAUUGGCUGACAUCGCCCAGAGUCCCGCCUCCUUGCCGUUGACAGACAGCGGCAGCUGAGGGGGCGGGGAAAGAGGCGUGGCUUAGUACUUUCUCCGCCUUAUGAUUGGCUGAAGACGUAGUUGGGGUGGGUUUAUCGUGGCUCCGCCCCCCGCUCCCCUGAGGGAAAAAGGCGGGAAAGGGCCGGAGGCCCUGAGGGGGUUUUCCCGCCUUUUCCACUUUUCCCUUUUCCUGAAGGGAAAAGCGGCCGCCGUGAGGUGAAUUUACCCUUCUUUGCCCAGGAUGCCCAGGAGACGCUGUGCCCUCACGCUCUGAGUACAGAUUCCCUUUCUCCCACCCUUUAUUUUUUUUAACCAAGGAUUUUUCGCCAUUUUUAACCCAAAAUUUCUCCACCUGCACCGAGGGGAACCCGACGCCUUCUUCGCCCUCCCGGGGAAACCCUGAUGAAGGAAUUCCUCCCGACCGACGUUUGCUGCGGGGUCUCCAGCGAGGACCUGCUGGCCAUGGCACUGAUGAGCUUCGAGUGUGUGGGGCUACAACCCCCUCAACCUCUUCACUGCCCUGUGAGUACCUUAAUUAGGG